ACGAAGGGUGCAAGCGUUACUCGGAAUUACUGGGCGUAAAGCGUGCGUAGGUGGUGGUUUAAGUCUGCUGUGAAAGCCCUGGGCUCAACCUGGGAAUUGCAGUGGAUACUGGGUCACUAGAGUGUGGUAGAGGGAUGCGGAAUUUCCGGUGUAGCAGUGAAAUGCGUAGAGAUCGGAAGGAACAUCCGUGGCGAAGGCGGCCUGCUGGGCUGUUGCUGACGCUGAGGCGCGACAGCGUGGGGAGCAAACAGGA
rnacentral:rRNA from 1 species